AUUGAACGCUGGCGGCAGGCCUAACACAUGCAAGUCGAACGGUAACAGGAAGAAGCUUGCUUCUUUGCUGACGAGUGGCGGCCGGGUGAGUCAUGUCUGGGAAACUGCCUGAUGGAGGGGGAUAACUACUGGAAACGGUAGCUAAUACCGCAUAACGUCGCAAGACCAAAGAGGGGGACCUUCGGGCCUCUUGCCAUCGGAUGUGCCCAGAUGGGAUUAGCUAGUAGGUGGGGUAACGGCUCACCUAGGCGACGAUCCCUAGCUGGUCUGAGAGGAUGACCAGCCACACUGGAACUGAGACACGGUCCAGACUCCUACGGGAGGCAGCAGUGGGGAAUAUUGCACAAUGGGCGCAAGCCUGAUGCAGCCAUGCCGCGUGUAUGAAGAAGGCCUUCGGGUUGUAAAGUACUUUCAGCGGGGAGGAAGGGAGUAAAGUUAAUACCCUUGCUCAUUGACGUUACCCGCAGAAGAAGCACCGGCUAACUCCGUG
rnacentral:rRNA from 1 species